GAAUUUGCCCAGGUGGCCAUGGUCAAGAAGCACUGAUGUCUGCUUGCCCUGCCUUUGGGCGCCUCUCUGAGCACCAAUGCCCUAAGAGCUGCCGGUGUCACUUUCUCUCCUUGCUCUGUCUUCAGGUCACCCUGAGAAAGGAAUGGGCUGCACAGAGAACUGAACAGAGAAGCCUGACUUGAGGAGGUGAUUUUCCCUGAACACAAAUCCUGCUGUGAGACUUCCAAGCAAGCCUAUAUGGUUAUGCAAGACAGUGAAACAAGACAUACAGGUAGUACUAACAAUUUUUAUUUGCAAAUGGUACUUGCUGUGACAAUGCUGCCUUUUGGGGAUAAUGGUAAAACAGCCAACAAAUUCAAGAGAACUUUGCAGACCAGUUCUAUCAGAAAUUCAACCUUAUUUCAGCUUUUAGCAUCAGGUGAAUUGGAGAUGACCUUCUCCUGGGAACUCCAGCUUGGGUUUGGGUAUUUCUUGCUAAUCUCAACUGUUAGAAUGCAAAUUGUUUCUUUGUAUCCAGUGAAACAUUAAGUGUCUGUCAUUUGUUGCUACCUUGCAACCUCUUCCAUUGUUUUUUUGGGUUUUUUUCUCUUUUUCACUGCUCAGUCCUGUAUUAAGAUUUCAGUAUUAUGGAGCUUUUGUAUUGUAAAAACUAUUACACAAUGCCCUUCAUUAUGGGAAACUGUAAAUCCAAGCACUGAAUAAGUAUUUCCCUCAAUUGUAUUGCAUUAUUUGACAUGCAGUCCCGAUAUGAGGUUUCUUCCUAUCUUGACUAAAGUAUGUUUCUGUCUAAAUACGUCAUCCACAUGACGUGUUUGUGGUGGCAAGAGCAGAAGGGGAGUAAGGAGCAUCCAGAACUAAAUAUGGUCACUGUGGUUCAUAAUAAAAUAAGGGAGCUGGUCAUUUAAAUUUAAGUGAAAUCAUAAAUUUCCUCUACAGAAUUUGGGAGAAAAAUGCUACGAGAAUGAGAGGGAUCAGUUAUAUUGAGUAAAUAAAAAUAAAAAUGUUUAAAGCCUUCUGACAACGUAAGAGGCUGCAGCUAAUAGGAAGAAGUCAGGAUUCAAAUGCAGAAUAGAAAGAACAUCAAAUAUAGAUGCUUCACUGAUACUCAAUUUGAGGGAAUCUAUUUCUUGUGUUUUAAGUGUGAUGGAUAUUUAAAACAGCUCCUGCUAUAGGAAAUGGUGAUAACUGGCCAAGUUUCUACACAGUGCAGAGACAACAGCUUGACAAGACAAUAUUAAUGUGAAAAAUGCAAAAGCACUUGCUUUGCCGUGCAAAGUGUUUAACAGGACAUGGGCUCCACCCUUUCCAAGAAACCACCAUUUGCUUGUGUAAUGCCUUGACACAUCGUUAUAACUCAGCUGAAGAAUUUCACAGGACAGGAGAGAGAACACAUCCACAGCAGCAUUAUUAAAUUUGUCAGCACAUAAACAGACCCAACAAAUGGGAUUCAAUUUCUUAUUGGUAGGAUGCUCCAAAGUGCACCGGGAAAGCUGGCAGCUCCUACUGUUCUUCAGAGCAGUUCUAAUACUGUUCCUAAAUGGGAAGGCAAAAGCUGCCCCAAGCUGUCAUUGAGCACUCUGUGGGUAGUCAUAAAAAGCAAGAAAUUGGGUUUGUAACUCACUUAUACACCCUGUGUUUUGCAAAGCGUCAUGUACAUCAUGUGAAGUAUUACAUAUUGCUGGAAUAUAAAUUCAGCAUUUGCCAGCUUGACCACUACUAGAAAUGCAUUAACAGUUUUAGGCUUAAUUUUCUGUAGCUUUUAAAAAAUAAAAUGCAUGAAAAGACUUAUAAUUAUGGUGAUAGCUCUAUGCUUUAGAAAGUGAUGAUGUCACUUAAAGCUCCUGUCCAAAAAGAGUCCCCAACCAAAAAACCCUUCAGGACCUGUAACCCCAACUCUGGAAAUCAAUUUGUGGAUUAUUUUUCUGUUCUGAAGCAUGGAAAGUUUAUUACAAUACAUUUUUUAUUACUCUCACAAUUGGCUUUCUGACUCAUUAAUCUGGAAAGCUGAACCACAGGAGAUUGAGAGAGCAGGUGCUGCACCAGCUUAAGCA